UGAAUACGAGACGCUAAGGCGUCGAAGUAGUGUAUGUCAUACUUCCAAGAAAAGCUUGCACUGUCAUAGAUAAAAAACGCCUGUACCAUAACCGACACAGGUGGGUAGGUAGAGUAUACUAAGGGGCGCGAGAUAACUCUCUCUAAGGAACUCGGCAAAAUAACUCCGUAACUUCGGGAGAAGGAGUGCCUUAUUCGUAAGGUUGCAAUAACAAGAUCCAAGCAACUGUUUAUCAAAAACACAGGUCUCCGCUAAGUCGUAAGACGAUGUAUGGGGGCUGACGCCUGCCCAGUGCCAGAAGGUUAAAGAAGUUGGUUAGCAAUUGCGAAGCUGAUAACUGAAGCCCUGGUGAACGGCGGCCGUAACGAUAACGGUCCUAAGGUAGCGAAAUUCCUUGUCGGGUAAGUUCCGACCCGCACGAAAGGCGUAAUGAUUUGGAUACUGUCUCGGAGAGGGGCUCGGUGAAAUAGACUUGUCUGUGAAGAUGCGGACUACCUGCACCAGGACAGAAAGACCCUAUGAAGCUUUACUGUAACUUGAAAUUGAAAUUGGACUUUAUUCGCGCAGUAUAGGUGGGAGGCGUUGAUUAUAAUCUUGUGGGAUUAUUGGAGCCAUCAGUGAGAUACCACUCUUGUAAUGUUAGAUUUCUAACUUUGAAUCAUUAUCUGGUCAAAGAACAGUUUCAGGCGGGCAGUUUGACUGGGGCGGUCGCCUCCUAAACGGUAACGGAGGCGUACAAAGGUUUCCUCUGAACGGUUAGAAAUCGUAUCUAGAGUGUAAAGGCAUAAGGAAGCUUGACUGUGAGACCUACAAGUCGAGCAGGGACGAAAGUCGGUCUUAGUGAUCUGACGGUACUGAGUGGAAAGGCCGUCACUCAACGGAUAAAAGUUACUCUAGGAUAACAGGCUGAUCUCCCCCAAGAGUUCACAUCGACGGGGAGGUUUGGCACCUCGAUGUCGGCUCAUCGCAUCCUGGGGCGGUAGUACGUCCCAAGGGUUGGGCUGUUCGCCCAUGAAAGCGGUACGCGAGCUGGGUUCAGAACGUCGUGAGACAGUUCGGUCCAUAUCCGGUGUAGGCGUUAGAAUAUUGAGAGGAGCCUUCUUUAGUACGAGAGGACCGAGAAGGACAUACCUCUGGUGUACCAGUUAUCGUGCCAACGGUAAACGCUGGGUAGCUAUGUAUGGAGUGGAUAACCGCUGAAAGCAUCUAAGUGGGAAGCCCACCUCAAGAUAAGUAUUCUCACC
rnacentral:rRNA from 1 species